GAUGAACGCUAGCGAUAGGCCUAACACAUGCAAGUCAAGGGGCAUCACAUGAAGUAGCAAUACGGAUGGUGGCGACCGGCGCACGGGUGAGUAACACGUAUGCAACCUGCCUUCAACAAGGGGAUAACCCGUUGAAAGACGGACUAAUACCCUAUAACACAGGGGUCCCGCAUGGGAAUAUUUGUUAAAGGACAACCGGUUGAAGAUGGGCAUGCGUUCCAUUAGCUAGUUGGCGGGGUAACGGCCCACCAAGGCAACGAUGGAUAGGGGAACUGAGAGGUUUAUCCCCCACACUGGUACUGAGACACGGACCAGACUCCUACGGGAGGCAGCAGUGAGGAAUAUUGGUCAAUGGACGCAAGUCUGAACCAGCCACGUCGCGUGAAGGAAGACGGCCCUACGGGUUGUAAACUUCUUUUAUACGGGAAUAAAGUGCCCCACGCGUGGGGUUUUGCAUGUACCGUAUGAAUAAGGAUCGGCUAACUCCGUG
rnacentral:rRNA from 1 species